GAUGAACGCUAGCUACAGGCUUAACACAUGCAAGUCGAGGGGAAACGACAUUUAAGCUUGCUUCGAUGGUCGUCGACCGUCGCACGGGUGAGUUACGCGUAUCCAACCUGCCUCUGACCAAGGGAUAACCCGUCGAAAGUCUUCCUAAUACCUUUUGCAGUCGUCGUAAGUCUUCUGAUUACGUCGAAAGUUUUCUUCGGUGUGUGUUGGGUUUGCGUCUGAUUAGCUUGUUGGCUGCGUAACGGCCCACGAAGGCAACGAAUAGUAGGGGUUCUGAGAGGAAGGUACACGACAGUGGAACUGAGAAACGGACCAAACGCCGACGGGAGGCAGCAGUAGGGGAUAUUGGGCAAUGGGGGAGAGCAUGAAACAGCCAAGUAGCGUGCAGGAUGACGGCGAUAUGGGUUGUAAACUGCUUUGAGGAGGGGAUAAAGUGAGGGACGUGACCGAGAUUGAAGGUAACGAAUGAAUAAGGACCGGCUAAUUACGUG
rnacentral:rRNA from 1 species